AUUGAACGCUGGCGGCAGGCUUAACACAUGCAAGUCGAGCGGAGAUGAGGUGCUUGCACCUUAUCUUAGCGGCGGACGGGUGAGUAAUGCUUAGGAAUCUGCCUAUUAGUGGGGGACAACAUUCCGAAAGGAAUGCUAAUACCGCAUACGCCCUUCGGGGGAAAGCAGGGGAUCUUCGGACCUUGCGCUAAUAGAUGAGCCUAAGUCGGAUUAGCUAGUUGGUGUGGUAAAGGCCUACCAAGGCGACGAGCUGUAGCGGGUCUGAGAGGAUGAUCCGCCACACUGGGACUGAGACACGGCCCAGACUCCUACGGGAGGCAGCAGUGGGGAAUAUUGGACAAUGGGCGGAAGCCUGAUCCAGCCAUGCCGCGUGUGUGAAGAAGGCCUUUUGGUUGUAAAGCACUUUAAGCGAGGAGGAGGCUACCUGGAUUAAUACUCUAGGAUAGUGGACGUUACUCGCAGAAUAAGCACCGGCUAACUCUGUGCCAGCCGCCGCAGUAAGAC
rnacentral:rRNA from 1 species